GAUGAACGCUGGCGGCGUGCCUAAUAUAUGCAAGUCGAGCGAACAGACGAGGAGCUUGCUCCUCUGACGUUAGCGGCGGACGGGUGAGUAACACGUGGAUAACCUACCUAUAAGACUGGGAUAACUUCGGGAAACCGGAGCUAAUACCGGAUAAUAUAUUGAACCGCAUGGUUCAAUAGUGAAAGACGGUUUUGCUGUCACUUAUAGAUGGAUCCGCGCCGCAUUAGCUAGUUGGUAAGGUAACGGCUUACCAAGGCAACGAUGCGUAGCCGACCUGAGAGGGUGAUCGGCCACACUGGAACUGAGACAGGGUCCAGACUCCUACGGGAGGCAGCAGUAGGGAAUCUUCCGCAAUGGGCGAAAGCUUGACGGAGCAACGCCGCGUGAGUGAUGAAGGUCUUCGGAUCGUAAAACUCUGUUAUUAGGGAAGAACAAAUGUGUAAGUAACUAUGCACGUCUUGACGGUACCUAAUCAGAAAGCCACGGCUAACUACGUG
rnacentral:rRNA from 1 species